CGUUGCUGCGCUCUUACGUACAGAAUGAGCGCUUGUUGCACCACUGCAAGGUUUAAACUCUUAACCUUGAAACAUGAGCUGAUGGGGGCAACGCGGCUGUAGGAUUUUUGUGUGUGUUCGGGGGAAAUCUUCCUGUAAACUGAUCAGGGUGUUGGGAAAAGUAAAAAAAAAAAUGUCGGUCAGUGGUUUCAGCUUGUGCUGCGACCGACACUCCCGCUGACUAAAUGUCCGUUUAAUCAUUAACAAGAGGUCUCUGUGUGUGUGUUUUUUCAGUCCGUAAACCUGCUCACUGGAAGGUGAUCUCUGGCUUGUCCUUGUGCCCAGAGAAGCUAGUUCGCCUGCUUCACCUUCUGCUUUUACCGCCGGCUUUUUAAAAAACUUUCUCCUACAGAGACACAGCUGACGGUAAAGAUUUCCUGUCUGCCUUCAUGCCAGCAAUGCAAAUUCAAGAAAGCGAAAGCACCGAAUAAGCUAUAAAGAGUGAAGCACAAAAACAGCGGAAGUUUUAUUAACCGAGGAAUCGGCCAGAGUUGGGUAGUAAAUGAAAUGAGAUGUCGCAAAUGAUGGAAAAGUCUACCGAGAACCCCAGCGAGGACAGAGCGUCCUUCAAGAGCAACGGGUCCAUCAAGAGCGAUGAGAAGUUGUCGACCGAUGGCGGCACAAAGUUGGGCAGGCUGCGAUCGUUUAGAAAGAGCAUCCAGCAUGCAACACAGAAGAGUCCUCUGUCAUCUGUCAAGGGA